rnacentral:rRNA from 1 species
GACGAACGCUGGCGGCGUGCUUAACACAUGCAAGUCGAACGAGGUCCACUGCGUAGCAAUACAAGGGAAGACCUAGUGGCGAACGGGUGCGUAACACGUGAGGAACUUGUCCCGGUCUCUGGGAUAACAGUUGGAAACGACUGCUAAUACCGGAUGACGUCGGAAUCUCGCAUGGGAUACUGACGAAAGGGUUACUGGAUCGGGAGAGCCUCGCGGCCUAUCAGCUUGUUGGUGAGGUAACGGCUCACCAAGGCAUCGACGGGUAGCUGGUCUGAGAGGAUGAUCAGCCACACUGGGACUGAGACACGGCCCAGACUCCUACGGGAGGCAGCAGUGGGGAAUCUUGCGCAAUGGGCGAAAGCCUGACGCAGCAACGCCGCGUGCGGGAGGAAGGCCCUCGGGUUGUAAACCGCUUUCAGUAGGAACGAAAUGACGGUACCUGCAGAAGAAGGUGCGGCCAACUACGUGCCAGCAGCC